GAUCUAUGUAAAUAAUCAUUUUAUAAUUAAUCAGCAGUGACAGACCUAAUGUUCAUAUCUCCAAGUAGCCUAUGUUUAUACGGUAAAUAAUUGGAUAGCAGCAUGUGUAGGAUUUUGUUGGAUUCUUUUAUGCUAUGGAUGAUGCCUUGAACAUUGAGGCCGUUACCUUUAUGUUGAGAGAAGGAUGAGACUGAGACUAAGGGCAAGAUGUCCUUCUGUACUUGGUGAAUUCAUUCUAAAAUGUUUGACUUAUAUCAUUGUAAGUUGCUUUUCUUUUAAUUCUGUUU
rnacentral:sRNA from 1 species